rnacentral:lncRNA from 1 species
GAGGAAUCUGGUUCUACUGAUAACAGGAUUCCAAUUGUCACAAAGCUUUAGAUCUGUUAAGAUUCCGAAAGACUUGGCCACUCCUUGAGGAUGCAGUUACCAAAGGAGAAGAAAUGCAUUCAAGCAUGUUAAUCCCAUCUUUGAGUUUGUUUGGUUUGCAUCAUUUUUAUCUGGAGAAGGAGGAAGUUGUUGAGCUACAGAGCUGCCUCCAUAAAACAUGAGUCCGGUGUGUAGUUUAUACUCAUAGCCCAUCCCAGUUUGGGCUGGCUUCAUUUCUGGGGCUCCAUCACUGCACAUGGCCAGCACAUCCCAGACUAAAUCAUGUGUGAGUGUAGAUGGCAGCAGGAUUUGCAUCACAUCAUCCUGAAAGAUCACGGCCUGACUGCCCAGUGACAGGCAUCUGGCUGA